AAUGAACGCUGGCGGCAUGCCUAACACAUGCCAGUCGAACGAAACUUCUUUAUCACCUAGUGCUUGCGCUCGUCGAUAGAGGGUUGAGUGGCGAACGGUUGAGAAACACCUUUGCAACCUGCCCUAAUGAGGGGGAAAAUACUCGGACACAGGAUCUAAUACCGCAUAAUCAUCGUUACUGCAUGGUAACUAUGUAAAAGGUAGCAGUCCUACCACUCUUCGAUGGGCCGCCGGCGCAUUAGCUAGCUGGUCGGGUAUAGGCUUACGAAGGCAAUGAGGCGGAGCGGAAAUGAGAGGGAGAUUGGCCACAUUGGGACUGAGACAGGGCCGAAACUCCGACGGGAGGCAGCAGUAGGGAAUCCUACACAAGGGGCGAAAGCCUGAUGGAGCAACGCCGCGGGGGUGAAGAAGGUCUUCGGAUGGUAAAGCCCUGUUGUUAGUAAAGAAAUAGAGCGGGAUUACCCGGGCAGGUUUUGACGGUACCUAAAGAAAAAGCACCGGCUAACUACGUG
rnacentral:rRNA from 1 species